AAGGCUGUAGGAGCAGAGCAGAGCAGUGGGACUGAUUCUUGGGAAAUCAAGGUCACUUCAUGGUGGAGGGUACUUUCUCGAAUGAUCAGUUUGCAUUUUUUAGGUAGAAAAGUUGGGAAAGAGCUGGGAAAGCCUCGGUGCUGCUGGGGGAUGCUGUGGUUUGCCGACACAAAGUGGAGAAAUGCUCCUUAUCCUUGAGGGGCUCAUGCUGGUGGGGUGGCGUAGGAAGACAAGCAGAUAUGUACAAGAGCAAGUGCCCGGGGAGGAGAGGGGUAGAGAGCGCAGGACUAGGGGAGCCAGGGAAGGCCUCGGGUGAAUAAUUGAGCUGCGCUUUGAAAAGGAAAGAUUUUAGCAGAGCCCAAGAGUGAGGAGGGCCUUCCCACAAAGAGCAAAUUGUCAGGGUGGAGACCUGGAGGCGUGAGUGAGCAUGUCAUGUUCAUAAAUGGUCUGGUGAGGCUGGAGCACAGGCUGUAAAUGAGGGAGUGUCCAGGCAAGACUGGGGAAGUCCACAGGCUCCUUUCCAGAGAGGAACUUUAAAGCAGUCCUCAGGGGACUGAACGAGAAAUUCUUAGAGUAAGACAGCCCCUAUAAACACUGAUGGCCAACAUUUUUUCCAUGAGAUGAUGCAUACAGCGUAAAGCCCAUCUAAAUUUCUCUUUAAUGCCCUGUGCUUUUCAACAUGAUUGGCUAUGCCAUCUACCACCCUGUCUCUGUUAGUGCAAGAAGCCAGGGUUAAUUGUCUGGGGGCUAAGGCUUGACCCUGCCGUUUUGUAACAGGUAUAUUCGUUUCCCGUUGAUGCUGGAAAACUCACUACACACUCAGUUGCUUAAAACAACACCAGUUUAUUCACUCACAGUUCUGGAAGUCAGAAGUCUGAAGUCAAGGUGCUAGCAGGACAGCACUCCUUCUGGGGGCUUCGAGGGGAAAUCAUGCCCGUCCCUUCUCCAGCUUCUAGAGGUUGCCUACAUGCCUUGGCUCAUGGCCUCUCCCCCAUCACUCUGACCUCCUGCUUCUGUAAUCUCAUCUCUUUCUCUGACUGUUAUCCUCCUACCUCCCGCUUAUAAGGAGGACCCUUGUGAUUACACUGGGCCCACCCAGGUAAUCCAGGAUAAUCCCCCAUCUCAAAAUCCUUAA